UACCUUUUCCAUUUGAGAUAAUCUUACUGUGACAUGCAUAAAAUGGUAACGUUUGUGUAAAGCUCACACGACAAUAUCAAGGACUCAAGGAACCUGGCUUUGAUAAUUGGUUAGGAUAAGAAUACUAUGAAGAACGUAAAGUGAACGAA
rfam:Methanosarcina barkeri str. Fusaro, complete genome.